GCCAGUGUGGCAUAAUGGUUUGAGUGUUGGACUAUGACUCUGAAGGCAAGGUUCAAUUCCCAGCUUGACC